rnacentral:lncRNA from 1 species
CGGGGCGGAGGACCAGGUAGAUGGGGCGCGCCAUGUUGCCGUACGGCACCGGCCUGCUCCGCGGCGAGGCGUGGAGCUCUUUGCACCAGGAGCUUGCCGAAGCCGCUCGGCCAAUCAGAAACUCCAGCCUCAGACCUGCCCCACAACCCCAAGCCAUCGCGUGGAGUCGCAUCGGGUAAGACCGGUCCCUCCACCCUAGGAGGGUAAGGAAUCUCCUGCAGGUAGCUAAGGAGCUGAUGUCUCUAUGGCUGUGCAGGGCUCCAGGGAACGAAAUAAAAGAUAUGCUUUUCCUGCCCUGGGUUGGUGUAAGCCUUGCACCGCCUUCUCUGCUCUCCCUCCGGCCCCUGGAGUUCCACCGCCUGGCUGCCUACGCUGGCCCUUCCCUUCCUUCGAGAGGAGGCGUGCACCUCGAGGCUGUCCAGCCGGGCCUCCUGGGCCAGGUGCACACACACACGAACACACGCAUACAAAUGAGCACAGCAUGAUGCUGGAGUGAGCUAUUGUUUUUAUUGUCGUCGGCGACACGCAUCUCAGACUGCACCACUGUCGUUAUGACCGAGCCCCCUGGUGCGAACCGUGGGCCCCCUGUUUGUCCCGGAGUCGUCUUGACCGGUACAGAAGGCAGUGCUUCACUGCCUGGGUUUGCAGGGCGGGAGGCGGAGCGCGGGAUAACCUGGCGCGGGCUUGGGGAGAAGCCGUGCAAGCUGCCGCUGGGAGCUCUAGGAAAAGAGGCUCAUGAAAUCCCGCGGGGUGUCUUCUUCUCCCGCAGAGCCGCGGAGAAAAGGAAGAGGGGGAAACCACUGUGAUGCCCGCCCGGCCCAGGGUGGGGAGGCAAGGUCCGCAGGUGUUGAUGAGGAAGCCUGAACGUCAACACUCUGCGCGGAGACUUCGGCUCUGCAGCCUUCCUUCCACGGUGGUGGGCAUCUUGCCAAUUUGCAGGACCAAGAAAGAAGCCCAGCUGCUCUCAGAGGACCCGAACUUCAAUUUUAAACCCACCUCCUCUCAUUGUGUCCGGCCUUCUGGGCUUACAGCAUUUCAAUAGGAGCGGGGUGGGGUGGGGUGGGGUAGCUCUCCAAUGGCUGACCGGACUCUUAAGAGAUGAUUUAAUUUUCUUAUCCUUGGGUUUCUCAAAAUGGGUUUCCCUGAAAUAAAGGUUCCCCCAUCUUUUCACAAUUAUUUAUAUUCCCUUUUACGCGUGUGCCAGUGUAAGUCUCUACACAACAUGAGUGCAAGUGCCUGUGAAAGCCUUUAAGAGCACUUGUUGCUCACAACCAACUGUAAUCCCAGUUCCAGGAAAUCCAAUAGGCUUGUGUGUGGUGAACAUACGAGCAUCCAGGCAAAUCAUCCAUACACGUAAAGUAAAAUAAAUGUAUUGUUAAAGUUAGUCGUUAUAAAAACUGACUGCAAGCUGAGGGACCAUGGAAGAAGGGAGCGGGUGUGGAUGGAAGUUAGGAGGUGAAAGUUGGAUUAGAGUUCUGUGACAAGGCCAGCUUGUGGCACUGACCAACUCACAGAGGCCAAGAUUACCUGCUAUUAAGAGACCAUCAGAGGAGCUGGAGAGAUGACUCAGCAGGUAAGAGCACUGACUGCUCUUCCAAAGGUCAUGAGUUCAAGUCCUAGCAACCACAUGGUGGUUCACAACCAUCCUUAAUAUAGAUCUGAUGCCCUCUUCUGGUGUGUCUGAAGACAGCUACAGUGUACUUAGAUAUAAUAAUAAAAUAAAUCUUUAAAAACAAAAAAAAAAAGCCCAUCAGAAAGCUGGGCAUGGUGGCGCAUGCCUUUAAUCCCAGUACUUGGGAGGCAGAGGCAGGCAGAUUUCUGAGUUCUAGGACAGCCAGGGCUAAACAGAGAAACCUGUCUUGAAAAUAAAAAAAAAGAAAGAAAGAAAAAAAUCAGAAAUAAGGAAGGGGGCUCAUGAGAAUCCCCACCCAUCUCUAAAGAGCUAUUGGCAAUUCUUGUUGGGAGAGUCUUUUUCUGCCACUGGUAAACCCAGGGAGCUCCAACCCCUAGGUCCCCUCCUGCAAAUCCCAAUUAAACUUAACAGUGGGGGGAGGAGCCAGGGAGUAGAAUCAGCCUGGGGGAGUAAGAGCUUCCCUAGGAGAGGGGCAUCCAAGAGAAACGCAGGUGAAAUUAACCAGAAUUCCUUAUAUAUAAUGAAUAAAAGUAAGCAUAGGUUUUUA